rnacentral:rRNA from 1 species
AGCGAACGCUGGCGGCAGGCCUAACACAUGCAAGUCGAACGAAGUCUUCGGACUUAGUGGCGGACGGGUGAGUAACACGUGGGAACGUACCUUUUGGUUCGGAACAACUCAGGGAAACUUGAGCUAAUACCGGAUGAGCCCUUAGGGGGAAAGAUUUAUCGCCGAAAGAGCGGCCCGCGUUAGAUUAGCUAGUUGGUGAGGUAUAGGCUCACCAGGGCUACGAUCUAUAGCUGGUCUGAGAGGAUGAUCAGCCACACUGGGACUGAGACACGGCCCAGACUCCUACGGGAGGCAGCAGUGGGGAAUCUUGCGCAAUGGGCGAAAGCUUGACGCAGCCAUGCCGCGUGAAUGAUGAAGGUCUUAGGAUUGUAAAAUUCUUUUACCAGGGACGAUAAUGACGGUACCUGGAGAAAAAGCCCCGGCUAACUUCGUGCCAGCAGCCGCAGUAACAC